rnacentral:rRNA from 1 species
GACGAACGCUGGCGGCGUGCUUAACACAUGCAAGUCGAACGGAAAGGCCCUGCUUGCCGGGUACUCGAGUGGCGAACGGGUGAGUAACACGUGGGUGAUCUGCCCUGCACUUCGGGAUAAGCCUGGGAAACUGGGUCUAAUACCGGACAGGAGCCAUUUUUAGUGUGAUGGUUGGAAAGUUUUUUCGGUGUAGGAUGAGCUCGCGGCCUAUCAGCUUGUUGGUGGGGUAAUGGCCUACCAAGGCGGCGACGGGUAGCCGGCCUGAGAGGGUGGACGGCCACAUUGGGACUGAGAUACGGCCCAGACUCCUACGGGAGGCAGCAGUGGGGAAUAUUGCACGAUGGGCGCAAGCCUGAUGCAGCGACGCCGCGUGGGGGAUGACGGCCUUCGGGUUGUAAACUCCUUUCGCUAGGGACGAAGCUUUUUGUGACGGUACCUAGAUAAGAAGCACCGGCUAACUACGUG